rnacentral:rRNA from 1 species
UACGUAGGGGGCAAGCGUUGUCCGGAUUUAUUGGGCGUAAAGAGCGUGUAGGCGGCUAGAUAGGUCCGUUGUGAAAACUCGAGGCUCAACCUCGAGACGUCGAUGGAAACCAUCUGGCUAGAGUCCGGAAGAGGAGAGUGGAAUUCCUGGUGUAGCGGUGAAAUGCGCAGAUAUCAGGAGGAACACCAAUUGCGAAGGCAGCUCGCUGGGACGUAACUGACGCUGAGACGCGAAAGCGUGGGGAGCAAACAGG